AGAGAUCAUGGCUCAGAUUGAACGCUGGCGGAAUGCUUUACACAUGCAAGUCGAACGGCAGCACGGGGGCAACCCUGGUGGCGAGUGGCGAACGGGUGAGUAAUACAUCGGAACGUGCCCAGUCGUGGGGGAUAACGCAGCGAAAGCUGUGCUAAUACCGCAUACGAUCUACGGAUGAAAGCGGGGGACCGUAAGGCCUCGCGCGAUUGGAGCGGCCGAUGGCAGAUUAGGUAGUUGGUGGGGUAAAGGCUCACCAAGCCGACGAUCUGUAGCUGGUCUGAGAGGACGACCAGCCGCACUGGGACUGAGACACGGCCCAGACUCCUACGGGAGGCAGCAGUGGGGAAUUUUGGACAAUGGGCGCAAGCCUGAUCCAGCCAUUCCGCGUGCAGGAUGAAGGCCCUCGGGUUGUAAACUGCUUUUGGACGGAACGAAAAGCCUUCUUCUAAUACAGGGAGGUCAUGACGGUACCGUCAGAAUAAGCACCGGCUAACUACGUGCCAGCAGCCGCGGAAAUACGUAGGGUGCAAGCGUUAAUCGGAAUUACUGGGCGUAAAGCGUGCGCAGGCGGUGAUGUAAGACAGAUGUGAAAUCCCCGGGCUCAACCUGGGAACUGCAUUUGUGACUGCAUCGCUGGAGUGCGGUAGAUGGGGAUGGAAUUCCGCGUGUAGCAUUGAAAUGCGUAGAUAUGCGGAGGAACACCGAUGGCGAAGGCAAUCCCCUGUGUUUGCCCUGUCCCUCAUGCACU
rnacentral:rRNA from 1 species